rnacentral:tRNA from 1 species
GGGGCAGUAGCUCAGUGGUGGAGCUCCUGCUUCGUACGCGGAAAACCUGGGUUCGAUUCCCGGCCGCUUUA